rnacentral:rRNA from 1 species
GACUCAGAUAGAGUUGGUCGUGCCACCGGUACGUAACUGGUCUCACUGAUUCCUCCUUCCUGAAGAACCGUAAUGCCAUUAAUUUGGUGUUGCGGGGAAACAGGACUGUUACUUUGAAAAAAUUAGAGUGUUUAAAGCAAGCUAACGCUUGAAUACAUUAGCAUGGAAUAAUGAAAUAGGACGAUCGAUCCUAUUUUGUUGGUUUCUAGGAUUGACGUAAUGAUUAAUAGGGAUAGU